CCUACGGGAGGCAGCAGUGGGGAAUAUUGCACAAUGGGGGAAACCCUGAUGCAGCGACGCCGCGUGAGUGAAGAAGUAUUUCGGUAUGUAAAGCUCUAUCAGCAGGGAAGAAAAUGACGGUACCUGAUUAAGAAGCCCCGGCUAACUACGUGCCAGCAGCCGGGGUAAUACGGAGGGGGCAAGCGUUAUCCGGAUUUACUGGGUGUAAAGGGGGCGUAGGCGGCAGCACAAGUCUGGAGUGAAAUGCCGGGGCUUAACCCCGGAACUGCUUUGGAAACUGUGCAGCUAGAGUGCAGGAGAGGUAAGUGGAAUGCCUAGUGUAGCGGUGAAAUGCGUAGAUAUUAGGAGGAACACCAGUGGCGAAGGCAGCUUACUGGACUGUAACUGACGUUGAGGCUCGAAAGCGUGGGGAGCAAACAGGAUUAGAUACCCGUGUAGUC
rnacentral:rRNA from 1 species